rnacentral:SRP_RNA from 2 species
GCUGGGCAUGGUGGCUCACGCCUGUAAUCCCAGCACUUUGGGAGGCUGAGGUGGGUGGAUCACCUGAGGUCAGGAGUUCGAGACCAGCCUGGCCAACAUGGUGAAACCCCAUCUCUA